CUCUCAAGCGUGCUCUGCUCCCACCUAAGCCAGUCUGAAUUUGGGGGGCAGGCUGGAACUCGCUCAGCAGUCAGCAUGCCUCAGGCAGACAAAAGCUGGAGAGAUGCAGGGAGAACACACUAACUUGGCUCAGUAAGGACAGGACAUGUGAAAAAGAAUGGAGAAUUUGCCCUCCCUUUGGUAUUGCCAAUGCAGGUCUUAAACAAAAAAUCUAGACAGAAGCUGCAGGUAAUAGUGUUACAUCUGAAAAACUAUCACAAAGUUAACAAACGUGCCAAGAAGCACACAGCUUCCACAGACAUCUAACUGGUCUCAUUUUCCUCCUGAGACAAAGCAGAGCAAAACCUGACCCAAGGAUGUACUGCUAACUUCAGCCAAGCCACCCUGCCUUAAACGAGCUGAGGCCCAGGAAAGCCUCUUGCCCUGUGAGAAUUUAAUUCCUGCCCCUUACUGGAUGGCAGGUGGCAUCAUUUCUCUCUCAACUACUCAGCUCAUGAAGCCAGUGAAAGGGUACCUCUGAUGGAACUGGAAGAGCCCUGUUUUACAGUGGAUUUGCUGUUUUCACGUCUGAGAGAUGCAACAAAUCAGAGACAACACAAGCCAGUGCAUUCUCCUUGCGUUGCCUGAAUGGGAAAGUUAGCAUUAUAGCCCAGAGAAGAGAUUGCUGAAGCUCCCAGUUACUGGUGGUUUCUACUUCUGUUAUUCCAGGCUCCAGUGCUAAGACAGAGAAAACACCUUGCGCUCAAGGUUAUGGCAGGAUAUUGCCAGGGGACGCAGCUGAACCAGGCAGCAUUUGUAAUAUCUGAGUGCCCUGCGGGGAGCAGACCCUGGAACCAGUUGCAGGGUGACAGUUCUGAAACAUGUUAAUUUUUCAUCCACAUGCUCCAAUGCACCAUAGCAAAAUGCCAAGUGUACACGAGGGUCAAACUAAAUAUACUGCUGCCUUUUGGUACCACCCUUGAAAGCUUUUGGAUCGAGUUUUCAGAUAUGCUGAUUAUCUUCAUCCAAGAGCCCUGGCACCGACUGAAAAAACCUUUCCUUUCCUUUUCACCUUCAUUGCUCUUC
ensembl:lncRNA